rnacentral:rRNA from 1 species
GAUGAACGCUGGCGGCGUGCCUAAUACAUGCAAGUCGAGCGAACAGACGAGGAGCUUGCUCCUCUGACGUUAGCGGCGGACGGGUGAGUAACACGUGGAUAACCUACCUAUAAGACUGGGAUAACUUCGGGAAACCGGAGCUAAUACCGGAUAAUAUAUUGAACCGCAGGGUUCAAUAGUGAAAGACGGUUUUGCUGUCACUUAUAGAUGGAUCCGCGCCGCAUUAGCUAGUUGGUAAGGUAACGGCUUACCAAGGCAACGAUGCGUAGCCGACCUGAGAGGGUGAUCGGCCACACUGGAACUGAGACACGGUCAAGACUCCUACGGGAGGCAGCAGUAGGGAAUCUUCCGCAAUGGGCGAAAGCUUGACGGAGCAACGCCGCGUGAGUGAUGAAGGUCUUCGGAUCGUAAAACUCUGUUAUUAGGGAAGAACAAAUGUGUAAGUAACUAUGCACGUCUUGACGGUACCUAAUCAGAAAGCCACGGCUAACUACGUG